rnacentral:tRNA from 1 species
UUGGCGCAGUUGGUUAGCGCGCUUCCCCGACACGGAAGAGGUCACUGGUUCGAUCCCAGUACUGCCCACCA